AGUGAACGCUGGCGGUAGGCCUAACACAUGCAAGUCGAACGGCAGCACAGUAAGAGCUUGCUCUUACGGGUGGCGAGUGGCGGACGGGUGAGGAAUACAUCGGAAUCUACUUUUUCGUGGGGGAUAACGUAGGGAAACUUACGCUAAUACCUCAUACGACCUACGGGUGAAAGCAGGGGAUCUUCGGACCUUGCGCGAUUGAAUGAGCCGAUGUCGGAUUAGCUAGUUGGCGGGGUAAAGGCCCACCAAGGCGACGAUCCGUAGCUGGUCUGAGAGGAUGAUCAGCCACACUGGAACUGAGACACGGUCCAGACUCCUACGGGAGGCAGCAGUGGGGAAUAUUGGACAAUGGGCGCAAGCCUGAUCCAGCCAUACCGCGUGGGUGAAGAAGGCCUUCGGGUUGUAAAGCCCUGUUGUUGGGAAAGAAAAGCAGCAGGUUAAUACCCCGCUGUUCUGACGGUACCCAAAGAAUAAGCACCGGCUAACUUCGUG
rnacentral:rRNA from 1 species